rnacentral:rRNA from 1 species
GACUGAGAGGUUGACCGGCCACAUUGGGACUGAGAUACGGCCCAGACUCCUACGGGAGGCAGCAGUGGGGAAUAUUGGGCAAUGGGCGCAAGCCUGACCCAGCAACGCCGCGUGAAGGAAGAAGGCUUUCGGGUUGUAAACUUCUUUUGUCGGGGACGAGUAGAAGACGGUACCUGGCGAAUAAGCCACGGCUAACUACGUGCCAGCAGCCGCGGUAAUACGUAGGUGGCAAGCGUUGUCCGGAUUUACUGGGUGUAAAGGGCGUGUAGCCGGGAAGGCAAGUCAGAUGUGAAAUCCACGGGCUUAACUCGUGAACUGCAUUUGAAACUACUUUUCUUGAGUAUCGGAGAGGCAAUCGGAAUUCCUAGUGUAGCGGUGAAAUGCGUAGAUAUUAGGAGGAACACCAGUGGCGAAGGCGGAUUGCUGGACGACAACUGACGGUGAGGCGCGAAAGCGUGGGGAGCAAACAGGAUUA